UCAAGAAUUAAAUAUUAAUCAGUUAUUAUUGCAUUCGUUGUAAGAAGUUUACGAGAUUCCCCUCUCUCGUUUCAAUCUCUACAUAUUUUACGUUGGAUUUUUAAGAUUCUUCUCGUGUUGUCGAGACGAGAACGAAAGAUCGAGGCAGAGUCUCGUUGUUAUAUUAUAACAAGAACUCUUUUGCGAUAUUCGUAAUUAAUUUUUAUUUUUCCUUGUUCGAAGGAGGGGAGAAAACCGUUUACUCGCUCUUUUGUCCGCUCCGUUGUCUUAACGGAUAUCCAUGACGAGAAAAAAAGGACUUCGUUAAAUAUGGCCUUCUUGAAGAUCCUUCCGACAGGUGGCAAAUUUCUUCAGAAAAACCAAUCUCGCCCACGGAAGUUGAACAAGAAAAAAUAUUGAAAGUUAAAUGGAAAAGGAUAUCGAAGAAUGUAAUUUUCCGAAUAAUAUUUCAUUUUUCUUCAAUACGACGAGAAUAAGAUUAUAAAACACGCUGGGAACGCUUGAUAAAUCGGUUAUUAUUGUCACCAGUUUAUCAUUGGUCUCGAGAGCUCAGAAGUCCUCGCUUAAAACUGUAUUAUACGAUACUUCGUAAAGCGUUUCCGUUGUCUCGUGGAAGCAUAGAAUAUUAAGCACGAGUAACGAAAUACCGAUUUCGUAAAGUUACAUAUUUUGCCCUCUCGAAGAAAAAAAUCAUUCUGGCGAAGAAGAAAAUUAUUUUACACCGGAUCCCAGUAUCUUCAGAUGCAUCCUUAGAAGCGGUAUGAUUCAUCAAUUGAGAUUUUAACCGGGAAUUGGAUAAACAGAAGAUUUCUAGGCGAAACGUCUCCGAGGCAUUUCCGAUCAAGAUGCUGUUUCUCAAAUCGAAGGCAAUCACGGUACAGUCGCUGUAUCAACGCCAUUAUUGCCGUAGAAUAUGAUAAGCAUAGCGGGUAUCAGCUUGUGGGUAAUGGUAAUUACAUAGCCUCGAGGCGGGAAGGGAGGUGGCAACAAUACACCGUGCUCCGGGUGACGCAGAACUAUUAGCUUCGAAUCUGAUACCCAUAAUUAUAUAUCUCUCUCGAAUUGUGCCUCCACUUGAAAACCAUAAUUGAAAUUGCAAACGGGAAGAAGGAAUAUCUUCAUCUCCAAGAAUCGAAUUUUUUUUAAGAAAUUAAAACAGAUUUAGCAUUUUCUCUUGAUGUGUCCUAAGAAUCUUCGUAUAAUUUUUAGGAUACGAUAUUCUCUUAAAAAAAAAAAAAAAUUAACUGAAUUUAACUUCUUCAAGAAUCUACAA